rnacentral:lncRNA from 1 species
UUUAGCUAAAAAGACACUUAUUAGUAUAUAGGAAAUUAAAUGGAGCAAGUACAUGAUGAAAACCAGUCUUCAACAAAACCCUAGCUAGGGCCGGCAUGAGUUGGAACAUAUAUAGAAAUCGAUCCUCUGUUUUAUUUUAUUCAAAUAUAGUAACUUCAUACACUAAUCCAAGUAUGUUAUUAUAAACACAUAUGGGAUACAUGCAUGGAUGUUUUGUAUAUGAUUAUUCCUAGUCUAGGCCUUUCAAUUAAGAUGGGGCCUCAUUUUAUUUUUCCCAUUGCUUUUAGUUUCUUCGGCGUCAAGGCAGCAACUUUCCCUUCGCCAUAUUGAAAGUCAUAUUUUUAAUGACCUCCUCCUUUAUCACCCCCUCCGCCGCCGCCGCCACCACCACCUCCGCCUCCCUUAUGGUCUCCUCCUCCUUGGUGACCGCUGCCAUCUCCUCCCUUGCCACCUCCAUGGUGAUCGCCAUCUNNN